rnacentral:tRNA from 2 species
GAGAGAGGCUCGCAGCAAUGAAAACUGCUAAUUUUCAUGACCUGGGUUGAACCCCCAGGCUCACUCG